GUGCACGCUGGCGGUAGGCCUAACGCCUGCCAGUCGCACGGCAGCACGGUAAGAGCUUGCUCUUACGGGUGGCGAGUGGCGGACGGGUGAGGAAUACAUCGGAAUCUACUUUUUCGUGGGGGAUAACGUAGGGAAACUUACGCUAAUACCGCAUACGACCUACGGGUGAAAGCAGGGGAUCUUCGGACCUUGCGCGAUUGAAUGAGCCGAUGUCGGAUUAGCUAGUUGGCGGGGUAAAGGCCCACCAAGGCGGCGAUCCGUAGCUGGUCUGAGAGGAUGAUCAGCCACACUGGAACUGAGACACGGUCCAGACUCCUACGGGAGGCAGCAGUGGGGAAUAUUGGACAAAGGGCGCAAGCCUGAUCCAGCCAUACCGCGUGGGUGAAGAAGGCCUUCGGGUUGUAAAGCCCUUUUGUUGGGAAAGAAAAGCAGCAGGUUAAUACCCCGCUGUUCUGACGGUACCCAAAGAAUAAGCACCGGCUAACUUCGUG
rnacentral:rRNA from 1 species